rnacentral:rRNA from 1 species
GAUGAACGCUGGCGGCGUGCCUAACACAUGCAAGUCGAGCGAUGAAACCGCCUCCGGGCGGACAUGAAGCGGCGAACGGGUGAGUAACACGUGACCGACCUGCCCCCCGCCCAGGGACAGCCCCCCGAAAGGGGGAUUAAUACCUGGUACUCCGGCAAGGACGCAUGUCCUGGCCGGGAAAGCCUUGGCGGCGGGGGAUGGGGUCGCGGCCCAUCAGGUAGACGGCGGGGCAGAGGCCCACCGUGCCGACGACGGGUAGCCGGGUUGAGAGACCGACCGGCCACAUUGGGACUGAGAUACGGCCCAGACUCCUACGGGAGGCAGCAGUGGGGAAUUUUGCGCAAUGGGGGCAACCCUGACGCAGCAACGCCGCGUGCGGGACGAAGGCGUCCGCGUCGUAAACCGCUUUCAGCGGGGAACACUUCAACGAGGGUACCCGCAGAAGAAGCCCCGGCUAAAUACGUGCCAGCCGCCGCCGUAA